GGAGUACUCAAUGUAAUUAAUUUCGUUGUUAUUUUAGUGAACUACACGCUGCUCCCAGGGCAGGAGUACUCAAUGUAAUUAAUUUCGUUGUUAUUUUAGUGAACUACAGGCUGCUCUCAGGGCAGGAGUACUCAAGGUAAUUAAUUUCGUUGUUAUUUUAGUGAACUACGCGCUGCUCUCAGGGCAGGAGUACUCAAUGUAAUUAAUUUCGUUGUUAUUUUAGUGAACUACACGCUGCUCUCAGGGCAGGAGUACUCAAGGUAAUUAAUUUCGUUGUUAUUUUAGUGAACUACAGGCUGCUCUCAGGGCAGGAGUACUCAAGGUAAUUAAUUUCGUUGUUAUUUUAGUGAACUACAGGCUGCUCUCAGGGCAGGAGUACUCAAUGUAAUUAAUUUCGUUGUUAUUUUAGUGAACUACACGCUGCUCUCAGGGCAGGAGUACUCAAGCUACCUGGAGGAGUUGCAAAAUCUGGACAAAUCAAAGGAGCUAACACUGAAGAUCUGAUACUGCCGAGUCCAAAAUGGUGCAAAAAUGGAGAUGUAUGAAAAAUGAUGUCACCAGAUGAUGGAUCAGCACCUAGAGACGACCUCUACAUCCCUAAAUGUCCUAAAUGAGUCCUCUGCAAUCUGACUUUGCUGCAACAUGGAACUUUUGCAUUAUUGACACACUAUUGUCCUAUUAAAAACUGUAAAGUUGC